GAGAGCUCAGGGGUGGCAGACUAAGCCCAGGCCGGGUCUGCUCUGAACAGCCCCUUCCUGUCCUUGAGGAAGCAUUGCAAACCCAGGAUGGGAUGGUUACCUAGCUGGGUUGCUAAGUGUAAAAGAGAAUUUGGAAAGUGACUAGCACAGAGUCCCAAAUGCACAGCUUCAAAGGAACAAAUGUACCACCAGAAUGGCACCAGAACUCACCGUUUUCCAUAGGAAUGGCUCCUGGAUUCCAGUGCCUCUGUGUUCACAUCAUCAAUGGCAACUUUAGAGGUGGCAACAGCUGAAGAAGGAAUUUUGUGGCUGCUGGAGGAAGUGGCAGCAACCUCAGACAGCAAUGGGUGAUUAAUACAAUUAAGAAGAAAAGCAAGGGUGAUUGAAGCAGAAGACAAGAAUAUUUGUGAAGAUGAGAGGAUAUAAUACAGACUAGAUAUGCCUAUAUCUUCAAACAUUUAUCAUUUCUUUUUGACACAUAAUCUCAUUGCAGCCAUAAGAAAAUGUCAGAAGUCUCAGCUGAAGGACAAUCUGCACAAUUCCUGACCAGCACUCCUCAAAAAUGGCAAAGUUAUCAAGAAACUGUCAUAGCCAAGAGAAUCCUGUGGACACCUGAGGACUAAAUGUAAUGUGGUAUCCUGGAUGAAAUUCUAGAAUAGACAUUAGGCAAAAAUGAAGGAAAGCAGAAUGAAGUGUGGAUUUCGGUUAAUAACAAGGUAUCCUUAUUGGUGACAAAUGGAGCCAGGUGUCGUGACACAAGCCUGCAAUCCUAGUUCUUGGGAGGUUGAGGGAGGAGGAUCACAGUGAGUUCAAGGCCAGCUUGGGCUACAUAGUGAAUUCAAGGCCAGCCUGAACUGCAUAGCGAGACCUUCUCUCAACAAACAAAUAUUGGUGACAAAUGUAGCCUACUGUUAGAAGAUGUUAAUCAUUAAGGGAAUAAGUUGUGGUUGUGGAACUCUGUACUGUCUUCAUACUUUUUUCGUAAUUAUAAAGAUAUUCUAAAUUUUUGAAAGUUUAUUGUAAAAAGGAAAAUGGUCUUCUAGUCCAUAAAAAGGUACAUUUUUAGCUACAUUAGCACUGUUUGGAAAUUUGGCCAUUUACUGGGGAACGUAUAGAAAGGAGAGUACUCCAAUCUGAUUUUAGUAUUAUGAAAAUGUGCUUUGCUCAGUCAUGAGCCCAUAAAUAAACUAUUAUGGUGAUAAACAACCAAAUUUUAUGUACUAUUAACUUGAAUUCCAAACUGACAAAUGAUUGUUUUUUUUUUCAUGUUUGGAGGUUUUAGAACAUUCUUUUUGGUGUGAGUGACUCAUUCCUUAGUAAGAAUUAUUUACUUGCAUGUUGUUAUUAACACCCUUAGAAACCUGUUCUUCUCUAGAGCAACCUGUUUUGUUUUGGGCACAACAAAAUGUAGGAUUUUGUUAUGGCUUGUGUUUAG